GGGGCCUUAGCUCAGCUGGGAGAGCGCCUGCUUUGCACGUGCAGGAGGUCAGCGCUUCGAUCCCGCUAGGCUCCACCA
rnacentral:tRNA from 1 species